GGGUCAGUAGGUUGGUCGUGCCACCGGUACGUACUGGUCUCACUGAUUCCUCCUUCCUGAAGAACCGUAAUGCCAUUAAUUUGGUGUUGCGGGGAAACAGGACUGUUACUUUGAAAAAUUUAGAGUGUUUAAAGCAAGCUAACGCUUUAAUACAUUAGCAUGGAAUAAUGAAAUAGGACGAUCGAUCCUAUUUUGUUGGUUUCUAGGAUUGACGUA
rnacentral:rRNA from 1 species